rnacentral:misc_RNA from 1 species
GGAACUGCUUUCUAAAAGCACCAUCAAGAAUGUUUUCUUCAGAUAUUCAUAGUCUGACGCUAGUAGCAGGCAUAGUUCAUGUUGAAACAUAACCACAAGUAUAUUCCACAAACAGCAUAGAGACAUCAAUCCCUUGUAUCAUAGUUAAGCCAACCAUUAAUAAGUCAUAGCUAAGAGUUACACUAGGUCCUUCACCCAAUAAUAGCG